rnacentral:Y_RNA from 1 species
GGCUAGUCCAAAGGUAGUGAGUUACCUCAAUUGAUUGUUCACAGUCAGUUACAAAUCAAAUUGCUUGUUCUACUUUCUCUCCCCUUCUCACUAUUGCCCUUGAUUAGUUUUUU